GCUUUUGUACACACCGCCCGUCGCUACUACCGAUUGAAUGAUUUAGUGAGGUCUUCGGACUGGUACGCGGCAUCGACUCUGUCGUUGCCGAUGCUACCGGAAAGAUGACCAAACUUGAUCAUUUAGAGGAAGUAAAAGUCGUAACAAGGUCUCCGUAGGUGAACCUACGGAAGGAUCAUUA
rnacentral:rRNA from 1 species